rnacentral:rRNA from 1 species
AACGAACGCUGGCGGCGUGGAUAAGACAUGCAAGUCGAACGCUGAUUUCGAGGGUAGCAAUAUUCUGGAGUCGGAGUGGCGCAAGGGUGCGUAACACGUGGGUAAUUUGCCAUGAAGCCCGGAAUAACUCGCUGAAAGGCGAGCUAAUACCGGAUGUGGAUCUUCGGAGGCAUCUCCUGAACCUCAAAGCUGGGGACCGUAAGGCCUGCACGUUCUUGANAAGCCCGCGGCCUAUCAGCUAGUUGGUGAGGUAACGGCUCACCAAGGCUAAGCGGGUAGCUGGUCUGAGAGGACGACCAGUCACACUGGGAACUGAGACACGGUCCAGGACACCUACGGGUGCAGCAGUCGAGAAUUUUUCGCAAUGGGCGAAAGCCUGAAGGAGCGACGCCGCGUGGGGGAUGAAU